rnacentral:lncRNA from 1 species
AGGGGAUGGUCCUCUUUGCCCUCAUCACAACUGUUGCUUUCCCUGAAAGGGAGAUGAGGAUGUAGAGAACUCCCUUCAGGAUGAUUUGCCUGAUGUAAAUAGUGUAAAUCAUCCCCAGCAUGUGACUGUCAGUGCUGGCUGGACCAAAGAUGGGAAACUGAUGGUCCAGGUGGAGAGAGAGAAGGUUUCAGAAUCAAAGAGGAUGAGAAAGGCUGAGGAUGCUAAGACGUUCAGAGAAAGGGAGGAGCCUCAUCUCGGGAGAGGCGAGAGAAUGUCUUCAGCUAUUGAAAACCAGGAGGUGAAAGAGGGAGAGCAGCCUAGAAGGU